GGGCUUGACAUCCCACGAACCUGGCGAAAGGCAGGAGUGCCCGCAAGGGAGCGCGGAGACAGGUGGUGCAUGGCUGUCGUCAGCUCGUGUCGUGAGAUGUUGGGUUAAGUCCCGCAACGAGCGCAACCCUCACCCCUUGUUGCUACCAGGUAAAGCUGGGCACUCUAGGGGAACUGCCCCGGUCAACGGGGAGGAAGGCGGGGAUGACGUCAAGUCAUCAUGCCCCUUACGUCCUGGGCUACACACGUGCUACAAUGGCCGGUACAAAGGGAUGCCACACCGCGAGGUAGAGCUAAACCCAAAAAGCCGGUCUAAGUUCAGAUUGGAGUCUGCAACUCGACUCCAUGAAGGAGGAAUCGCUAGUAAUCGCGUGUCAGCACGACGCGGUGAAUACGUUCCCGGGCCUUGUACACACCGCCCGUCACACCACGAAAGCCAGCUGUACUCGAAGUCGCUGAG
rnacentral:rRNA from 1 species